CAGGCAGGCAGGAAGACCAGCAGCAGCAGCCGCCAGCAGCCAAUACAUGGAAGCAACCUAAACAUCCAUCAACGGAUGAAUGAAUAAAGAAGAUGCGGUGUAUAUACACAAUGGAACACUUCUCAGCCAUUAGAAAGAGUGAAAUAAUGCCAUAUGCAGCAACAUGGAUGAACCUAGAGAUUAUCGUACUAAGUGAAGUAAGUCAGAAAGAGCCCCAUCCAUCAGAGAGGGAACAGAACUGAAAUGGAGUUAAUGAUUGAUCAUGCCUGUGUGAUGAACCCUCCAUAAAAUUCCAAAAGCAUGGGAGUCUGGAGAGCUUCCAGGUUGGUGAAUAUAUCUACACCGAGAGGUUGAUGCACCCCAACUCUACAGAGACAGAAGCUCCUGCACUAGGUGAACCUCCCAGACCUUGCCUAUGUAUUUCUUUAUCUGGCUGUCCAUCUGUAUCCUUUAUCAUAUCCUUUAAUAA